GACGAACGCUGGCGGCGUGCUUAACACAUGCAAGUCGAACGGAAUCCAUGGAGUAGCAAUACUCCGGAAGAUUUAGUGGCGAACGGGUGAGGAACACGUGAGAAACUUGCCCCGGACUUUGGGAUAACAGUUGGAAACGACUGCUAAUACCGAAUACCUUCGGAGGUCCGCAUGGAUCACCGAAGAAAGAAUUUCGGUCCGGGAGAGUCUCGCGGCCUAUCAGCUAGUUGGUGGGGUAAUGGCCUACCAAGGCAACGACGGGUAGCUGGUCUGAGAGGAUGAUCAGCCACACUGGGACUGAGACACGGCCCAGACUCCUACGGGAGGCAGCAGUGGGGAAUCUUGUGCAAUGGGCGCAAGCCUGACACAGCAACGCCGCGUGCGGGAAGAAGGCCUUCGGUCGUAAACCGCUUCUAGCAGGAACGAAAAUAGACGGUACCUGCAGAAGAAGAUGCGGCCAACUACGUG
rnacentral:rRNA from 1 species